rnacentral:rRNA from 1 species
UACGGGGGGAGCAAGCGUUGUUCGGAUUUACUGGGCGUAAAGGGCGCGUAGGCGGCCACCGCAAGUCAGUUGUGAAAGCUCUGGGCUUAACCCAGAAAGGUCAGCUGAUACUGCGGGGCUAGAGUGCAGAAGGGGCAACUGGAAUUCUCGGUGUAGCGGUGAAAUGCGUAGAUAUCUGGAGGAACACCGGUGGCGAAGGCGGCAUCCUGGACCAACACUGACGCUGAGACGCGAAAGCGUGGGGAGCAAACAGG